rnacentral:RNase_P_RNA from 1 species
AAGCUGGUCGGAGAUGAUCGCUGGUGUGGUUCCGUUUCGGCGGGAUCGGCAUUAGAGGAAAGUCCGGACUCCUUAAGGCAAUGUGCCUCGUGAAAACGGGGGCGGCGGAGGGCGUAAGCCACCGUUGACGGAUAGUGUCGCAGAAAACAAACCGCCCUCCCGCGAAAGUGGGAAAGGUAAGGGUGAAAAGGCGAGGUAAGAGCUCACCGCCCCGAGGGUAACCGAGGGGGCAGGAUAAACCCCACGUGGUGCAAGACAGAACAGAGCAAAGUCCGGGCCGCCUGUCCGGUUCCCGAACGCGCAAGCGGGAAGGAAUAAGCUUGGGUAUUAGUCGCACCCUGAAACGCGCAAGCGGGACGGGGAGUUUCGGCUUCGGCCGGGGCUAGAAAAAUGAUCGUCCAUCUCGUUUCGGCGGGAUGAACAAAAUCCGGCUUACGGGACCAGCUUUCGC